GACGAACGCUGGCGGCGUGCUUAACACAUGCAAGUCGAACGGAAAGGCCCUGCUUUUGUGGGGUGCUCGAGUGGCGAACGGGUGAGUAACACGUGAGUAACCUGCCCUGGACUUUGGGAUAACUUCAGGAAACUGGGGCUAAUACCGGAUAGGAGCUCCUGCUGCAUGGUGGGGGUUGGAAAGUUUCGGCGGUUGGGGAUGGACUCGCGGCUUAUCAGCUUGUUGGUGGGGUAGUGGCUUACCAAGGCUUUGACGGGUAGCCGGCCUGAGAGGGUGACCGGCCACAAUGGGCCUGAGGGACGGACCAGACUCCUACGGUAGGCAGCAGUGGGGAAUAUUGCACAAUGGGCGGAAGCCUGAUGCAGCAACGCCGCGUGCGGGAUGACGGCCUUCGGGUUGUAAACCGCUUUCGCCUGUGACGAAGCGUGAGUGACGGUAAUGGGUAAAGAAGCACCGGCUAACUACGUG
rnacentral:rRNA from 1 species